GCAGGGCUAUCACGUAAAAAUAGCGAUUAACAAACCAUCAGCAAAAAUCGCGCGAUGAUCGCGCGAUCGAUUGCUGGGUAUAAAAAAAAAUGGUAUCAUGUAAGCGAUCGCUCGCGGAUCGCUCGCUUAUCGUUUCAAUGCACUUUUGCGAGUACACUAGCGCCAAAAACAAUUUAGUAGCAAUCAAAGGAACUAUUAUUGGAAUGUCAAAUCAAACAAACUUCGACAAUGUUUACAAGUGUUCACGUUUCUAAUGUAUACAAAAGUACUCUGCGUUCGCUUUAGUUGUGAUUGUUUCGUGAACAAAAUAACAAGUGAGCGAGAUUAUACAAGUAAAAUACUGUAAAAUGUAAAAUCUUUGGUAUUUCACCAAUGUAUUAGCUGGAUUUCCUUGUGAAAUAGCCAAAGGAGUAGAUCUUGGGUCAAUCUGAAAAGAAAAUGUUGAAAACCGUAGAAUAAUCUUGCCCAUGAGCCUAAAGCUCUAGAAUCUAGAUCAACAAAAUCUUGAGAACAAUAGAAAAAGUACUGGGCUGACCUUAAAAGUUAAAAGCAAUAGCAAGAUGAAGCUAUGGCUAACAGAGGUGGUACUUUGGGGCCUGCUGAUGCUGCUGGUAAUCAAAGAUGAUGAUAUGGCUUACCAAUAAACAAAGUCGACAAUGAAGUCUUGGCUUUCAUCGCAGAGCACUAGUAUUUGGUGAUGGUGAACAUAGAAUUUUAUUAUACUCUGUAAGUACUAAGUAGAUAUGGAUUUCAUGGAAGCUGGGCUGUCUGAUUCAAAGUACCAUACCGAUGACAAACUACGGAGUGCUGCUGAAUCAACAAUAUUUGACUUGUCUUAUUAGUUAUAACAAAUAUUUAUUAUUGUUAAAAUCAUUUUAAAAUG